rnacentral:rRNA from 1 species
GACGAACGCUGGCGGCGUGCUUAACACAUGCAAGUCGAACGGAAAGGCCCUGCUUUUGUGGGGUGCUCGAGUGGCGAACGGGUGAGUAACACGUGAGUAACCUGCUCUUGACUUUGGGAUAACUUCAGGAAACUGGGGCUAAUACCGGAUAGGAGCUCCUGCUGCAUGGUGGGGGUUGGAAAGUUUCGGCGGUUGGGGAUGGACUCGCGGCUUAUCAGCUUGUUGGUGGGGUAGUGGCUUACCAAGGCUUUGACGGGUAGCCGGCCUGAGAGGGUGACCGGCCACAUUGGGACUGAGAUACGGCUCAGACUCCUACGGGAGGCAGCAGUGGGGAAUAUUGCACAAUGGGCGGAAGCCUGAUGCAGCAACGCCGCGUGCGGGAUGACGGCCUUCGGGUUGUAAACCGCUUUCGCCUGUGACGAAGCGUGAGUGACGGUAAUGGGUAAAGAAGCACCGGCUAACUACGUG